rnacentral:rRNA from 1 species
ACGCUCGACACCUACGGGAUGCAGCAGUGGGGAAUAUUGGGCAAUGGAGGCAACUCUGACCCAGCAACGCCGCGUGAGUGAUGAAGGUCUUCGGAUUGUAAAACUCUUUAAGUAGGGACGAAGAAAGUGACGGUACCUACAGAAUAAGCCUCGGCUAACUACGUGCUAGCAGCCGCGGUAAUCUGAGCGGGCUGGCAAGGC